UUCACCGCCCUCCCCUCCCCCCCUUCUUCCUCAUCCCCUGCAAUCCGCACUCGACGCGAGUUCACGCGGAGGGCUGGAUUUUCAGGCUGAACCGCAACUUGCGCUGCGCGUUAUUAUUAUUCAUCUGAGGGUGCUGCCGCCACAACCUUUGCCUCCUGCGCUCCUCUCCUUCCCCCCGGCCGCUGCCGCCAGCAGUGCAGUCCCUCCUGCACGCAUGCUCUGGUUCACCGAAGGGAGAUUCUGAAUUUUUUUAUCGUGCUCAUGAUCAUCAUCAUGAUGUUCCUUAUCAUGGUUAUCAUUUCCUCCUGCCAGGUGGAGCGACCACCAGCGCCUUCUCGCCACCCGCCCCUUCCCCAGCGAAGGAAGCAAUUCCGGCCGGGCCGCGGCGGCCGCUCCCUAGAUGCGGGUUUCCUUUGCCUCUCCGCAUCCCUCCCUCUUUCAUCUGCAUGUAUGUAUCUUGAUUCCUUUAUUCCAGUAGAUCUUUGCCUUUCUUUGGGCUGGCCGAAACGCUGAGGAAUGCCACCAGUCUCUUCAAAAGAAGAACAAAAAGAGGAAGACCUUGAGUGGACCCCAGGACAAAGCACUUUGGGCUCGGCAAGAAGGGACGCGCGGGAGCGCUGACUCGGAACGAGAGUGAUCUCCGGUGCCAAGGAGCGCCCACCCAGCGUGCGGACCUCUGAGGGGAUCCAGCUGCAUUAGACACGAGUGACCUUUUAAAUCUACACCCACCCUUUACCUGAGGACUGCAGCAGGCGAGUUUCGGAAGGCUGCCUCCCUGAUCCCGGCCCGGAGCGAGGCGGCUCGCCCCUGCGGCACGCCCGGACAGCCUGCGCCCGCACUCAGCCAGAGAGGAAAAAGCCUGGAUCCGAAAGGAUGGGGGAGAACAAAGAGCCUUUGGAAGACGUCGCUGUUAUCUCAUUGUCUGUGUGAUUGGGGGAGCUGCGGAGAAAGGCCUCUCUCUCCGUGUUCACAGCGGACCUUGAUUUAAAUGUCCAUACAAUUAAGGCACGCGGUGAAUGCCAAGAAUGGGGCUGGCUGAGCACCGUCGGUCCGAGAGGGCCCGCCGGGAAGGAGCCACGGAACCGAGGCGCCCUCCGCAGAGCUCAGCGCCGCGUCUUUGGGCGGGAGGGGUCUCGGUCUUACGCCGGCCGGGCUGCCCCGAAACCGAGACCUUGGGGUGGGGAAGUGUGCAGUUUGUGACAGACAGGGGACUUAGAGACACAGACAGGGAGAGAAGCUGAUUCUGUGACAGAAACACAGAUCUGUGCAAGCACAGAUGCGAUGGGGGCGGGGGGGCGGUUUGCCUCUGAGCGCAUGACGGAGUGCUUCUGUGUGCAUAUUUUUCUCUGGGCUGGGGGCGCAUUGUAUGUGGGUCGACACCUUCCGUGGCUGUGUUUUUGUUCUGAGCUUAGCUUUUGGUUUGCCCUUAAAAAAAAAAAAAAAUAAUUUGGCAUCCGGAGACUGGCGGUCUGUGCCAGGGCUUGCAGAUAUAUUGUGUUCUCCUUGAGAUGGGGGGUAGGAGGUGGGAAGGGGGGGUAGCCAGUUGGAAGGGAGGAGGGAGGUGUUUGUCAUUCUUUGCUGUAGAGCUGGAGGCACCUGACAAGCUUAAGGAAGUCAUGGGAUAUAUGAGGAAGAAGGAACAAACUCCUGGAAGGUUCAUCAGCUUGAUGGGGGCUGAAAGCCUGGCCAGGGCUCUUAGGAGCAUCUCACUUCCUCCUUGCGGCUGUAAUUGUAGUUUCAGGCAGAGAUCCAGGAGAUGCAGAGGAAGGGAGAGGCGCCAUAACCUACAUGUACCAAAGGAGGGGGAGGGAAUGAAUUCCUUCUUAAAUGGGAACCGAAGGAAAAACAGAUUGUGCGCAAGUGUUGCUGAGGAAAGACUGUUUUGAAAGAGGCUGUCAGGGAAUGGAAAGGGCUAGCCCUCCCUCAUCCUGGAAGAAUCUGCUUCACAAAUGAGGCCUUCCUCCCCAGCCCUAGAUGGAGAGCAGCAGCUGGUCCUGGGGAGAACCCCUAGCUGUGGAGGAUGGUGGCAAGACCUAAACUCUUAAAUUUGCAGGUGGAGAAAAUGGUAGAGGUGCAGGUCCCCGCAGAGAAAGGAGGCCAAGGGCUGGAUCUCCCCACCAGGAAGGCUGCUACGUCCCUUUCCCCACCCUUGGCAGAGGCCUGUCUUUGCAAGGCUAAGGCCAUGAGGGAUGCUUGGGAUUUUAGUUUGAUUCCUAGGCCAUUAAUAAAGGCCUAAAGGAGUCUCAGAUGAAGCUUGCUUAUUUUGUUCAGCAAAGUGCCCGGCUAACCCACUUAGCAAAUUAGUAUUUAGAGAUGCCAUGGAGCCCUAGCCUCAUUUCCUCCAAAAUACUUAUGGAGUACCUCCUAUGUGCCAAUCAUUGUAUAAUUAUUAUAUCUUGGGUUCUUCCUUUGCCUUCCUAAGGGAGUGUCUGGAGUCGGUUAAGUGCGCUGUACCCCCUCUAGAUACUCCCAGAACCUUCUCUGUGGAAAUGUGCCACAACCCGCUCGCUCCUGCAGAGAGAAGACCGCAGUUCUCAUCAUGCAAACUGUGGGCAUGGUCCUAUCUCUCAAGUCCCAGAAGUCAAGUUUGGCCAAAGGACAGAAAAGAGCACUCUGGCCUCUGAGCCUUAGUCCUCGUUGUCCUAAUAGUCAGCGGCAGCCACUGCCUUCAGAACAGACCAGCCUCCAAAUGGUGCCUUGUUGGGGUGUAAAUCCCCUUUCCUCUCCCCUCCCUCUUACCUAAGGAGGCUGCUCUGGUGUUGGGCUGGGGGUAGGGUCGGGGGGAAGCACGGUUUAAGCCUCUGAUGACCAACACUUUGCCCCACGCUUGUGGGCGAUAGUGGGAUUUGUCUCUAAUUGCUUCCCCAUAAGUCCAUCAGACAUGGCCGUGCCCUUUCACUGAUGCGCCUGUCCGUCAGUACAAUCUCCAGAUGCCUCCCCAAGUAAUGGCCUUUUUAGGUGGAAACCUAACACGCUUCUCCCUGAGAGCUUAAACCACAGGCACCAUGGACAUGGCCCCCACCAGGUUCCUGAGGCUGAUAAACUAGGCAGGGAGGGGCAUAUUUUUUAUGACUUAUGUAAACUCUUGUUCCAGAAAGCAUUUCAUGGGUGUGGGAGUGUUCUAGGUUUGCCGGGUCUGUGUGCCUAGGUGUGGGGGUUUUCCUGUGUUCACCAGGUCUCGUUAUAAAAUGUAUUUUUACGUGGGGUUUUAAUGGCCGAAAAUGGCCCAGAUGAAUGCACCACUUUGCCCCUGGUGUAAUUUCAAGGCCCCUUUUGUGUUCACCAAAUAGAGGCAUCCGAGCGAAGGUCAGUCUUAGCUUCUUGCCUUCUGUUAUAUUCAGGGCCUAUUUAUACCUGCUGAUACUUACGUAAGAAAAUUGAGAUUUAUGCCCUUCCAAGGCAUUUCUUUAACUCUCAGCAUCAUCUUCUCGCUUGUCUAAUUGAGCCCCUCUAGUUACAUCCUCAGCCUUGAACGAAGGGAAAAACAUUCAAUUUUUAAAACACAGGACGUGUUAAGGCAGUUCGCUGAUUGAAUAUGCCAAGGUGGCCCCCAGGAGUCCCUACCCAUCACCAUCAUUAUGGGCCUCAUGACUGGGAGCUCCUCUGUUGCUCAAGGUGACUGUACCAGAUACAUUAAGAUGGAUUUAGAAAUGUUAUCAAAGGAAAAAAUCGGUAAUAUUAUUCUUUCUCCUGCCAGAGACGGCCCAGGCCCAGAUCUCUGUUUAAGCAGAAAAGAAACUGAUCUUUUAACAAAAGCUAAGGUAAAUUUCUCUUAUCCUUUCUGUCACCAAAGGGGUGGGGAGCAGGGAUAGGUUUUGUGGCUUAGCCAGAGAAGUGAAUAACAGGGUAGAGGCAGACUUUCCAUCAGGCAUAUGCCCAU